AGCGAACGCUGGCGGCAGGCCUAACACAUGCAAGUCGAACGAACCUUUCGGGGUUAGUGGCGGACGGGUGAGUAACACGUGGGAACGUGCCUUUAGGUUCGGAAUAACUCAGGGAAACUUGUGCUAAUACCGAAUGUGCCCUUCGGGGGAAAGAUUAAUCGCCUUUAGAGCGGCCCGCGUCUGAUUAGCUAGUUGGUUGAGGUAAUGGCUCACCAAGGCGACGAUCAGUAGCUGGUCUGAGAGGAUGAUCAGCCACAUUGGGACUGAGACACGGCCCAAACUCCUACGGGAGGCAGCAGUGGGGAAUCUUGCGCAAUGGGCGAAAGCCUGACGCAGCCAUGCCGCGUGAAUGAUGAAGGUCUUAGGAUUGUAAAAUUCUUUCACCGGGGACGAUAAUGACGGUAUCCGGAGAAGAAGCCCCGGCUAACUUCGUG
rnacentral:rRNA from 1 species